AGUGAACGCUGGCGGUAGGCCUAACACAUGCAAGUCGAACGGCAGCACAGUAAGAGCUUGCUCUUACGGGUGGCGAGUGGCGGGCGGGUGAGGCAUACAUCGGAAUCUACUUUUUCGUGGGGGAUAACGUAGGGAAACUUACGCUAAUACCGCAUACGACCUACGGGUGAAAGCAGGGGAUCUUCGGACCUUGCGCGAUUGAUUGAGCCGAUGUCGGAUUAGCUAGUUGGCGGGGUAAAGGCCCACCAAGGCGACGAUCCGUAGCUGGUCUGAGAGGAUGAUCAGCCACACUGGAACUGGAACACGGUCCAGACUCCUACGGGGGGCAGCAGGGGGGAAUAUUGGACAAUGGGCGCAAGCCUGAGCCAGCCAUACCGCGGGGGGGAAGAAGGCCUUCGGUUGGUAAAGCCCUUUUGUUGGGAAAGAAAAGCGGCAGGUUAAUACCCCGCUGUUCUGACGGUACCCAAAGAAUAAGCACCGGCUAACUUCGUG
rnacentral:rRNA from 1 species